rnacentral:rRNA from 1 species
UACGAAGGGGGCUAGCGUUGCUCGGAAUCACUGGGCGUAAAGGGCGCGUAGGCGGCCAUUCAAGUCGGGGGUGAAAGCCUGUGGCUCAACCACAGAAUUGCCUUCGAUACUGUUUGGCUUGAGUUUGGUAGAGGUUGGUGGAACUGCGAGUGUAGAGGUGAAAUUCGUAGAUAUUCGCAAGAACACCAGUGGCGAAGGCGGCCAAACUGGACCAAUACUGACGCUGAGGCGCGAAAGCGUGGGGAGCAAACAGG